AUGAACGCUGGCGGCGUGCCUAAUACAUGCCAGUCGAGCGAACAGAUAAGGAGCUUGCUCCUUUGACGUUAGCGGCGGACGGGUGAGUAACACGUGGGUAACCUACCUAUAAGACUGGAAUAACUCCGGGAAACCGGGGCUAAUGCCGGAUAACAUUUAGAACCGCAUGGUUCUAAAGUGAAAGAUGGUUUUACUAUCACUUAUAGAUGGACCCGCGCCGUAUUAGCUAGUUGGUAAGGUAACGGCUUACCAAGGCAACGAUACGUAGCCGACCUGAGAGGGUGAUCGGCCACACUGGAACUGAGACACGGUCCAGACUCCUACGGGAGGCAGCAGUAGGGAAUCUUCCGCAAUGGGCGAAAGCCUGACGGAGCAACGCCGCGUGAGUGAUGAAGGUCUUCGGAUCGUAAAACUCUGUUAUUAGGGAAGAACAAAUGUGUAAGUAACUGUGCACGUCUUGACGGUACCUAAUCAGAAAGCCACGGCUAACUACGUG
rnacentral:rRNA from 1 species